UCGGGAAUCUUGCACAAUGGGCGAAAGCCUGAUGCAGCAACACCGUGUGAGCGAGGAAGGUCUUCGGAUCGUAAAGCUCUGUUGUUGGGGACGAAGGGCGAAGGGUUAAUAGCCCCUAGCCUGACGGUACCCUUCGAGGAAGCCCCGGCUAACUACGUGCCAGCAGCCGCGGUAAUACGUAGGGGGCGAGCGUUGUCCGGAAUUAUUGGGCGUAAAGAGCGUGUAGGCGGCCUGGUAAGUCUGUCGUGAAAUGGUGGGGCUCAACCCUGGACGUGCGAUGGAUACUGCUAGGCUAGAGGAUGGUAGAGGCGAGUGGAAUUCCCGGUGUAGCGGUGAAAUGCGCAGAUAUCGGGAGGAACACCAGUGGCGAAGGCGCUCAACUGGGCCGUAACUGACACUCAGGGACGAAAGCUAGGGUAGCGAAAGGGAUUAGAUACCCCGGUAGUCC
rnacentral:rRNA from 1 species